rnacentral:rRNA from 1 species
UACGAAGGGGGCUAGCGUUGUUCGGAAUUACUGGGCGUAAAGCGCACGUAGGCGGAUAUUUAAGUCAGGGGUGAGAUCCCGGGGCUCAACCCCGGAACUGCCUUUGAUACUGGGUAUCUUGAGUUCGGAAGAGGUGAGUGGAAUUGCGAGUGUAGAGGUGAAAUUCGUAGAUAUUCGCAGGAACACCAGUGGCGAAGGCGGCUCACUGGUCCGAUACUGACGCUGAGGUGCGAAAGCUAGGGUAGCGAACGGG